rnacentral:lncRNA from 1 species
GGCCCGUUCAUGUAAAUCAUCUCGAAUGGUCUCACCUUCAUUAGUGACUGCUAUAGUUAUAUUAGAACAAAUCUCCAAAGCUGUUAAAAUUCAGAUGGUACCAGGGACCCAAACAGCUGUUAUACAUGCUAUUAAAAAGUUUCAGUUGCCCCUGAACACAUUGUUUCAGUGUCUGUUUUUUUCUAAGUCUCUGGAGAAUUUGGAGAGAACAAGAAUCUCUUUCUAGAACACAUAACUCAGGGAAUAAUGGAGACAGAGAACUUGAUAACAGACCAAUAUUAAAUGUCUUUAAUUUCAUCUUGAUAAUUUCUAGCUGGAAAAAUUGUGUUGGUUUUCUUCUUGAGAUUAGGUUUGUUUCAUCAUAUUUGUCAGAGACUGCCAUGAGGAGAUACUUUUUCUUUCAUUUUUUAUGUGGCUGGAUGGUACCCUCCUCUUCGCACCCCUGCCACCAGCCUGCCCUUCUUUGGGAGGUAAGGAGAGCUUUUACAAGGUAACUCAGGCCUAAGAAGCAGACAGACAUUCUGCACUCAAAUCCCACAUGAAUAAUAGCCUCUUCCCUCCUCCUCUACCUCACAAUAUGGAACAUCUCCUCUUUUAAGUCAGCAACAACAGUGAAAACAGGUAGGGACUGUCCAUCCCUGCCGGAGGCCACAACCAAGAGAAGUGGCACCGAGGUGGGAAGAGAAAGGAGGCUUAACGCACAGAAAGAGAGAAAAAAAAAAAGAGUGAAGGUGAGGGUCUGGGAGGUACUCUCUCUCUCCUGAGGUGAUGGCUACCUCGGCCUCCAUGGGAAGUUAGGCAUGAGAUCCUGUGUCAGAGGAGAUGCUUUUGCACCAAGGAAUAGAAACACUUGACACAAACAGUUAAGGGAGAAGGAGGCAUUAUUUCCCACAGACGCAGUCUCUGAUGUAUUUGUGAUGGCUCUGGUUUCCUCAGAAUUUCAGUUUAUGCCUUCCUCAAUGCGUGGGCUUUGUCAUCAGGCUGGCAGCUUGGUGACAUCAGUAGUUCCAGGUUAUCUUGCCACCACAGCACCAGAGAGAAGGACUGUCUGUCUUGUGGCUUUCUCUUUACAUGGAGAAGACUUUUCUUUGAAUCCCAGGAGACUUUCAUUAUUUCUUGUUGGCUAGAAUUAGGUUAUAUGCCAUUCUUUAAUCACUGACUAGUAAAGGAUGGAAUUACCGUGAUAGUCUUACACUAAUUAUUUGGAGCAAAUUGAAUAUUGGAGAAUCAGUCAUCAUGAUACUAAAGUUACCAUAUCUGUGAUGGUACAAGAUGGUUAUUUCUUAUCUUACUAUCUCUUGUAUAUUAUCAAUUAGAUGGUUUAAUUUUGUCUAGAUAUUUAAAGUACUUGAAAACUGGUAUGUAAUAUAAGAGUUGAAAAUAAAUAUAUUCCUCUUCUAUAAUUAAACUAUAUAUAUGACGUCUAAAUUAUAUCUACAUAUACUGCAUAUAUUUUAUAUUACUAUUGUGUUACAUAUUAUGCUAUAUUAUGUUUUUAUUGUGGUUAUACUAUGUAUAAACUAAACAUUAUAUGUUUUAAAAACUUAUUUCAAAGUGCCAUAUGUUCUAACAGAAAUCCUUUGUCACAUCAAUAUAAUUUCCUAGUUGCUUGUUGGUUUUUGGAAAUUGCCAGUAUGCUUUUUUGGUUGAUGCAGCAUUCACUAGCUAAAUGGCACCCUGUCAGAACCAUGGCUUGCCAGUUGCAUCAAAUGCUUCUGACACACUUCCCCUUCCCACCCUUGAUUGUCAUUAGAAGACUGAGAUUCUUGACAGAACCUGAAUGGGGUUUGUGUCUUUGCCCCCAUCUUAGCAUUGAGCUUUCUGAUGAUCUCUAGGCCUCCAUUCUUUCUAUCUUCUCUUCCCCCCACAGUUGGUCAGAUUGGUACCAUCCAUGUUCUGGCCUCAUAUCAGCUGCUUCUUUGAGGGCAGGGAUCAAAAGGAAUUGCCAUACGUAGAGGGAAGGAGGCAGGGGAAAGGAAUAGCCAGGGAGGGGCAAAUUGGCUUCUCCUGGUUGUUGCAGGAGCCAGGAUCUGGC